CCUACGGGUGGCAGCAGUGAGGAAUAUUGGUCAAUGGGCUUACGCCUGAACCAGCCAAGUCGCGUGAGGGAAGACUGCCCUAUGGGUUGUAAACCUCUUUUGUCAGGGAGCAACGCCGGCUACGUGUAGCCGGACUGAGAGUACCUGAAGAAAAAGAAUGGGCUAACUCCGUUCCAGCAGCCGCGGUAAAACGUGGGAUGCGGGCGUUAUCCGGAUUUAUGGGGUUAAAGGGGUGCGUAGGCGGAAUGCCAAGUAAGCGGUAAAAUCGCGGGGCUCAACCUCGCUCCGCCGUUGAUACUGGCGUUCUUGAGUGGGCUAGAAGUAUGCGGAAUGCGUGGUGUAGCGGUGAAAUGCAUAGAUAUCACGCAGAACUCCGAUUGCGAAGGCAGCAUACCGGC
rnacentral:rRNA from 1 species